GACGAACGCUGGCGGCGUGCUUAACACAUGCAAGUCGAACGGUAAGGCCCUUCGGGGUACACGAGUGGCGAACGGGUGAGUAACACGUGGGUGAUCUGCCCUGCACUUCGGGAUAAGCCUGGGAAACUGGGUCUAAUACCGGAUAGGACCCUGGGAUGCAUGUCCUGGGGUGGAAAGCUUUUGCGGUGUGGAAUGGGCCCGCGGCCUAUCAGCUUGUUGGUGGGGUGAUGGCCUACCAAGGCGACGACGGGUAGCCGGCCUGAGAGGGUGACCGGCCAGACUGGGACUGAGAUACGGCCCAGACUCCUACGGGAGGCAGCAGUGGGGAAUAUUGCACAAUGGGCGCAGGCCUGAUGCAGCGACGCCGCGUGAGGGAUGACGGCCUUCGGGUUGUAAACCUCUUUCAGCACCGACGAAGCGCAAGUGACGGUAGGUGCAGAAGAAGGACCGGCCAACUACGUGCCAGCCGCCGCCGUAA
rnacentral:rRNA from 1 species